rnacentral:lncRNA from 1 species
UAUAUAUUCACACUCGCCUGACCGCUGACUUGCCUUCCUUCAUCAAGGAUAGAUAGCAAAGAAAGUGAAAUGCCAUAGCCUAAUGCUUUACUGCUAUAAACCUUGCUUUGACUUCGAUCUGCCUAUGAACUCUUCCUUUAGACUUAUAGCCUUUACUCCUAUAAGGUAAGCCCCUAAACUCAAAAAGUCUAUUUCCCCUCGAAGAACUUCAACUCCCUCUCGAUCGGAUCUACUCAAUCAAGGAUCUUGAAGGCCAGCGAAAUGCUUCCCUUCCUUUAUUCCAUGUCAAAGCCUAAUGAGCCAAAGCUUCAUGCCCUUCUUUCUAGAGUUUCAUUGAACAGCUGAUCUUGGACUUGCAAGCUCUCUCGAGGGAAUCACUUUUUGCAAGCUUUCGAGAAAGUUUAGAUCCCAUCCUUCGAGUUAGAGUUUCUUUUGUCCGAUUCAGGCUGAUUGGAUCACUGAACUUGGUUCACUGAGGCUAAAAGAAGGCGGAAAACACUCGGGGAUAGACUAAACCCUUAAAAUAGGAAUAGUGAAU